rnacentral:rRNA from 1 species
UCCGUAGGUGGAUAAUUAAGUCAGGGGUGAAAGUCUGCAGCUCAACUGUAGAAUCGCCCUUGAUACUGGUUGUCUUGAGUCAUUAUGAAGUAGUUAGAAUAUGUAGUGUAGCGGUGAAAUGCAUAGAUAUUACAUAGAAUACCAAUUGCGAAGGCAGAUUACUAAUAAUGUACUGACACUGAUGGACGAAAGCGUGGGGAGCGAACAGGAUUAGAUACCCUGGUAGUCC